rnacentral:rRNA from 1 species
GACGAACGCUGGCGGCGUGCUUAACACAUGCAAGUCGAACGGAAUGGCUUUCUUUUUGUGGGGUGCUCGGCUGACGAACGGGUAAGUAACAUGCAAUUAACCUUCCUUUGACUUUUGGAUAACUUAAGUAAACUUGGGCACCUCAUGACAUUGAGCUCUGGCUUCAUGGUGGGAUUUGAAAUUUUUCGGCGGUUGGGGAUGGUCUCGCGGCUUAUCAACUUGUUGGUGUGGUAGUGGAUGACCAAGGCUUUGUCGGGUAGCAGGCCUGAGAGGGGGACCGGGAACAUGGGGACUGAGAUACGGGCCAGAGUACUACGGGAGGCAGCAGUGGGGAAGAUUGCACGAUGGGCGGAAGCCGGAUGCAGCAACGCCGCGUGAGGGAUGACGGACUUCGGGUGGUAAACAGCUUACGCCUGUGACGAAGAGUGAGUGACGGUAAUGGGUAAAGAAGCACCGGCUAACUACGUG